rnacentral:rRNA from 1 species
GCCUAACGGCUGAACUGGCAACUUGGAGAAGUGGUAAGUUUUAUAAUUAAUAGUAAUUCAUAUUUCUAUUUUUAUAAAAUUCUAUUAGAAUUGAAUGAAGCUUUGUUUAUAUAUUGAUAAUGACAGUAUAUAUAUCGUGUCUUGACUAAUUGCGUGCCAGCAGUCGCGGUAAUACGUAAGAGACUAGUGUUAUUCAUCUUAAUUAGGUUUAAAGGGUACCCAGACGGUCAAUAUAGCUUCUAUAAUGUUAGUACUUGACUAGAGUUUUAUGUAAGAGGGCAGUACUUGAGGAGGAGAGAUGAAAUUUCGUGAUACCAAAGGGACUCUGUAAAUGCGAAGGCAGCACUCUAGGCAGCAACUGACGUUGAAGGACGAAGGCACAGAGAACAAACAGGAUUAGAUACCCAAGUAGUCUUUGCAGUAAAUGAUGAAUGCCAUAGGUCAGAACGCGAAAUUUGAUAUAUAUAAGAAAAUAUAUGUCGGAAAUUGAUCUAUAAAUGAAAGUGUAAGCAUUUCACCUCAAGAGUAAUGUGGCAACGCAGGAACUGAAAUCACUAGACCGUUUCUGACACCAGUAGUGAAGU